GAGUUUGAUCGUGGCUCAGAUUGAACGCUGGCGGCAGGCCUAACACAUGCAAGUCGGACGGCAGCACGGGAGCUUGCUCCUGGUGGCGAGUGGCGGACGGGUGAGUAGUGCUUGGGAAUCUGCCUAGCAUUGGGGGAUAACUCGGGGAAACUCGAGCUAAUACCGCGUACGCCCUGAGGGGGAAAGCAGGGGACUUGCUUGCAAGCCUUGCGAUGUCAGAUGAGCCCAAGCCGGAUUAGCUAGUUGGUAGGGUAAAGGCCUACCAAGGCGACGAUCCGUAGCUGGUCUGAGAGGAUGAUCAGCCACACUGGGACUGAGACACGGCCCAGACUCCUACGGGAGGCAGCAGUGGGGAAUAUUGGACAAUGGGGGCAACCCUGAUCCAGCCAUGCCGCGUGUGUGAAGAAGGUCUUAGGAUUGUAAAGCACUUUAAGUCAGGAGGAAGGCGCUCUGGUUAAUACCUGGAGUGAUUGACGUUACUGACAGAAUAAGCACCGGCUAACUUCGUGCCAGCAGCCGCGGUAAUACGAAGGGUGCAAGCGUUAAUCGGAAUUACUGGGCGUAAAGCGCGCGCAGGCGGUUCGAUAAGAAAGAUGUGAAAGGCCUGGGCUCAACCUGGGAAUGGCAUUUUUAACUGUCGGGCUAGAGUACGGUAGAGGGUGGUGGAAUUUCCUGUGUAGCGGUGAAAUGCGUAGAUAUAGGAAGGAACAUCAGUGGCGAAGGCGACCACCUGGACUGAUACUGACGCUCAUGUGCGAAAGCGUGGGGAGCAAACAGGAUUAGAUACCCUGGUAGUCCACGCUGUAAACGAUGUCAACUAGCCGUUGGUCUCCUCGUGGGAUAAGUGGCGCAGCUAACGCGAUAAGUUGACCGCCUGGGGAGUACGGCCGCAAGGUUAAAACUCAAAUGAAUUGACGGGGGCCCGCACAAGCGGUGGAGCAUGUGGUUUAAUUCGACGCAACGCGAAGAACCUUACCUGGCCUUGACAUCCACAGAACCUGCCAGAGA
rnacentral:rRNA from 1 species